rnacentral:snoRNA from 1 species
AGCCCAGGGUGAGGGCAUCUUCUCAAUAGAUCCUUGUAUCUCUCUUAUGCAUCAUAGAGUGUUUCUAAAUCCACCUGCACAAAAGAAGAAAUAUCAUUCCUUAGUUU